rnacentral:rRNA from 1 species
GACGAACGCUGGCGGCGUGCUUAACACAUGCAAGUCGAGCGGUAAGGCCCUUUCGGGGGUACACGAGCGGCGAACGGGUGAGUAACACGUGGGUGACCUGCCCUCAGCUCUGGGAUAAGCCUGGGAAACCGGGUCUAAUACCGGAUAUGACUCCAUGACGCAUGUUGUGGGGUGGAAAGCCUUGUGCGGCUGAGGAUGGGCCCGCGGCCUAUCAGCUUGUUGGUGGGGUGAUGGCCUACCAAGGCGACGACGGGUAGCCGGCCUGAGAGGGCGACCGGCCACACUGGGACUGAGACACGGCCCAGACUCCUACGGGAGGCAGCAGUGGGGAAUCUUGCGCAAUGGGCGAAAGACCUGACGCAGCGACGCCGCGUGAGGGAUGACGGCCUC